rnacentral:misc_RNA from 1 species
AUAAAUCAUUUACAAGAAAAUAAUGCAGUUAAAUUUUCACUCAAUCAUACUUGAUUUUUCUAUUUCUCUUGAAAUGAAACUUUUUAAAAGUUAAAAAACAUUACUUCUCCCAUUCCAAACAUGAAAAUUGGCCAAAAGAAAAUCAAUUAAAUUGAAUUUUUGUAAAAUUCUAGUCCCCAGAUUGUGAAUUAAUUUGAAUAACACAUCUGGCACCUACCUCAAGAUAAGAACCCCGGUCGGAGCUGUUCCAGGGCAGUUCUCAGCAUAAAAUACCGCAUUGGACCUUCAAUGGAUUUCACCUCAGCAUUCAGAAUUUGCUUCAGUGAACACGCCAUUCGUUUCUCUCUAUCGUAGCAGCUA